rnacentral:rRNA from 1 species
AGCAGCCGCGGUAAUUCCAGCUCCAAUAGCGUAUAUUAAAGUUGUUGCAGUUAAAAAGCUCGUAGUUGAAUUUCGGGAUUGGCGCAUCGGUCGUGCCUCACGGGGUAUGAACUGGUGCAGUCAAUUUCUCACCUUCUGGAGAACCGCGAUGUCCUUAAUUGGGUGCCGCGGGGGAACCAGGGACCCUUUACUUUGAAAAAAUUGAGUGUUUAAAGCAGGCAUUUUUGCUUGAAUACAUUAGCAUGGAAUAAUAAAAUAGGACGGCAUGGUUCUAUUUUGUUGGUUUCUAGGACCACCGUAAUGAUUAAUAGGGAUAGUUGGGAGCAUUAAUAUUCAAUUGUCAGAGGUGAAAUUCUUGGAUUUUAUUGAAGACUAACUACUGACGAAAGCAUUUGCCAAGGAUGUUUUCAUUAAUCAAGAACGAAAGUUAGGGAUACGAAGACGAUCAGAUACCGUCGUAGUCUUAACCAUAAACUAUAGCCGACUAGGAA